rnacentral:rRNA from 1 species
GAGCGGCGAACGGGUGAGUAACACGUGAGCAACCUGCCCUAGGCUUUGNGAUAACCCCGGGAAAUCGGGGCUAAUACCGAAUAUUACCUUCUGCCGCAUGGUGGGGGGUGGAAAGUUUUUCGGCCUGGGAUGGGCUCGCGGCCCAUCAGCUUGUUGGUGGGGUGAUGGCCUACCAAGGCGACGACGGGUAGCCGGCCUGAGAGGGCGACCGGCCACACUGGGACUGAGACACGGCCCAGACUCCUACGGGAGGCAGCAGUGGGGAAUAUUGCACAAUGGGCGGAAGCCUGAUGCAGCGACGCCGCGUGAGGGAUGACGGCCUUCGGGUUGUAAACCUCUUUCAGCAGGGACGAAGCGCAAGUGACGGUACCUGCAGAAGAAGCGCCGGCCAACUACGUGCCAGCAGCCGCGGUAAGACGUAGGGCGCGAGCGUUGUCCGGAUUUAUUGGGCGUAAAGAGCUCGUAGGCGGCUUGUCGCGUCGACUGUGAAAACCCGCAGCUCAACUGCGGGCCUGCAGUCGAUACGGGCAGGCUAGAGUUCGGUAGGGGAGACUGGAAUUCCU